GUAAUAAUUUUUUUUUUUGUUUUACUUUUACGUAAGAGUUUAAAAUAAUAAUAAUAAUAAUAAUAAUAAUAAUUAAUAUUAUGCUGUUUGUUUCGUUUAUUUUUUUAAGAAAUAAACUUAGCUAGACAUGUGAAGCAAUUAGAUUUAGAACUUAGGGUCUUAAAUAUCAGCCAUCAAGUAUUUAAUCACUUGCGUUAGAAAUGAUCGAUUUUCAUAAUAAUUUAUUAUUAAAACAAAUAACAAAGUGCUAGGUGUAGCUCAGUAAGUAAUUUGUAUCUUAUUAUCUGCAGUUUAUAAAAUUUAGGCCUUGUUUGGUAUUAUAUUUAGUUUUAAAUUUUUUAAAUAGAAUUUUAUGUAUUAAAAUUUGUGAAAGUGGACAGUAAAUUGUUUG
rnacentral:lncRNA from 1 species